rnacentral:rRNA from 1 species
UACGUAGGGCGCAAGCGUUAUCCGGAAUUAUUGGGCGUAAAGAGCUCGUAGGCGGUCUGUCGCGUCUGCUGUGAAAACUCGGGCUUAACCCCGGGCCUGCAGUGGGUACGGGCAGACUAGAGUGUGGUAGGGGAGACUGGAAUUCCUGGUGUAGCGGUGGAAUGCGCAGAUAUCAGGAGGAACACCGAUGGCGAAGGCAGGUCUCUGGGCCACUACUGACGCUGAGAAGCGAAAGCAUGGGGAGCGAACAGG